ACUCCGGUGGCCUAGUGGUUAGAGCGUCCGCUUCGGAUGAGGGAGGUCAUGGUUUCAAUCCCUGGUCGAGACA